UAGAUUGUAGACUAAUAGGCAAGUCAAUUUAAAUUUGAGUUAAAAAGAUGUAAGUUCGAAUCUUACCAAUCUAA
rnacentral:tRNA from 1 species